AUUGAACGCUGGCGGCAUGCCUAACACAUGCAAGUCGAGCGAGCGGCGGACGGGUGAGUAAUGUAUGGGGAUCUGCCCGAUCGCGAGGGAUAAGUACUGGCAACGGUGGCUAAUACCGCAUACUACAGGAUGAACCCAGAUGGGAUUAGCUAGUAGGUGGGGUAAAGGCGAACCUAGGCUACCAUCACUAGCUGGUCUGAGAGGAUGAUCGCCAAAACUGGGAUGGAGAAACGGCCAAGACUCCUACGGGAGGAAGCAGUGGGGAAUAUUGCAAAAUGGGCGCAAGCCUGAUGCAGGCAGGCCGCGUGUAUGAAGAAGGCCUUAGGGUGGUAAACUACUUUCAGCGGGGAGGCGGUACCCGCAGAAGAAGCACCGGCUAACUCCGUGCCAGCAGCCGCGGUAAUUC
rnacentral:rRNA from 1 species